CAUUCAGUCAGUAUGGAGCUCAGUAAACUUCCUCUCAUGCUCUUGCUGAUUUCACACAUCUACUCUGGAAACACUGAAGCGGGGUCCGCACAGAGGAAGAGGGCGGGAGAGUCCCCGGUCGCUGGAGAGGCAUCCAGCUGCAGCCCCGCAGACUCCCUUCUUGCUAGACACCAGUGGCUGGACACCAGUGGAUGGACAGCAGACGUCAUUUCCGUAUUGUCAUUCACUUUUCAAUUUUGACGCGCCAUGCAGAUGUCAGCGGUGUGGUGAAUGUCAAAAAACUGCCCAGGCUGUAAGAGACAUGUGUGUCCCUUUUAAAAUUGUGCAAUGCAGAAAUUGCAGAUGUUUUUUCAAAGACUGGGUGGGGUACUGUGGAAACGGAAGAUGUGGAGACCUGUGAGGGUUUUAUACAGACCCUGAAUUUCCUGAGCAUUGCCCAGACUGCCAGUUUUAGGGGGCAGGAAUGAGGUGUGGUGUUCUAAUUCUAUUAUUCUAGUUCCAAUAGUCUAUUUGGAACUGUUCAUGUUUUAUUUUCUCUUGAAAUAGGGCCUGACUGUGGCAUCUUCGUUCUGAUGGUCAGAUUUGACAAGUUUUACUAAUUGGAUUGUGUAAUUUCCAAUAAAUAUUGCAAAAUCAUGAAGUGUUAAUUUGAUCUGGAUUGUUUGGUAAAUUGUCUGAUCAUGUGAAUCUACGUAUAUUUUCAAAACAGAAGUGGUUACAUUUACAAAAAAAAAGAAUUGAAUAUCCAAAUGGGCAAGGCAAAAAACUGUGGUCAAUUAACAUGUACAAGUCUGUUGUAUUGACAAAACGUUAUAGUCCAUUGAUCUAGGCUGAAUUUAGGUCACAAAAAAUAGUGAUAUGAUCUGAACAAUAUAUAUUUUCAAGGUGGUUCUUGUGAAUGCAGUUUGCAUGAAUUAUUUAUGUUAUAUGUAUAUUAUUGAGAAUUGUUUUAUGUAAAGAGAUAUGAUAAAUAUCAUAUUUCAAUUUGCACACAGCUUUUAUAUUAUAUAUUUUUAAGUCAUAAAAGUAAAAUGACAAUACGGAAAAGACGUAUGCAAUUAAGGCUGCAAAGAAUACUGUCUAUCCAUAGGUGAAAAUAUAAAAUAAAUAUGCGGUCUAUCCAGAGGUGAAAAUAUAAAAUAUGCUGUCCAUCCAGAGGUGAGAACUAAAUAUGCUGUCUAUCCAUAGGUGAAAAUAUAAAAUAAAUAUGCUGUCCAUCCAGAGGUGAAAAUAUAAAAUAAAUAUGUUGUCUAUCUAGAGGUGAAAAUAUAAAAUAAAUAUACUGUCCAUCCAGAGGUGAAAAUAUAAAAUAAAUAUGCUGUCUAUCCAUAGGUGAAAAUAUAAAAUAAAUAUGCUGUCUAUCCAUAGGUGAAAAUAUAAAAUAAAUAUGCUGUCUAUCCAUAGGUGAAAAUAUAAAAUAAAUAUGCUGUCUAUCUAGAGGUGAAAAUAUAAAAUAAAUAUACUGUCCAUCCAGAGGUGAAAAUAUAAAAUAAAUAUUCUGUCCAUCCAGAGGUGAGAACUAAAUAUGCUGUCUAUCCAUAGGUGAAAAUAUAAAAUAAAUAUACUGUCUAUCCAUAGGUGAAAAUAUAAAAUAAAUCUUCUGUCCAUCCAGAGGUGAAAAUAUAAAAUAAAUAUGCUGUCCAUCCAGAGGUGAAAAUAUAAAAUAAAUAUUCUGUCCAUCUAGAGGUGAGAACUAAAUAUGCUGUCUAUCCAUAGGUGAAAAUAUA